UACGUAGGGGGCUAGCGUUGUCCGGAAUCAUUGGGCGUAAAGCGCGCGUAGGCGGCCAGAUAAGUCCGGUGUGAAAGUCAAAGGCUCAACCUUUGAAUGCCGCUGGAAACUGUCUGGCUUGAGUCCGGAAGGGGCGAGUGGAAUUCCUGGUGUAGCGGUGAAAUGCGCAGAUAUCAGGAGGAACACCAUGGCGAAAGGCAGCUCGCUGGAACGGUACUGACGCUUGGAGGCGCGAAAGCCGUGGG
rnacentral:rRNA from 1 species